AUGGAUUGGUCAGCUCUUGCCUGCUCCGUCACGGUCCUGAUCCUUGCAUUCCUGCCCUUGCGUGCGUCCGACGACCGGCUUGUCCCCGGCAAGCCGCUCUUCCCCGGAGCCACCAUCAUCUCCGACGGCGGUGACUUCGCCUUGGGAUUCUUCGCCCCCUCCAGCUCAGCUCCGGCCAACCUGCACCUUGACAUCUGGUACAACGGCGUCCCUGAGCUCACCGUGGUGUGGGUCGCCAACCGGGAAACUUCGGUCACCAACAGCAGUGCACCCAUGCUCUCCCUCACCAACACUUCUGACCUUGUCCUCUCUGACGGUAAUGGCAGCAACGUGUCGUUUGGACGACGAGCGUGGCCGCUGCUCCGAACUCCUCUGUAUCAGAGGCAGUGCUUCUGA
rnacentral:rRNA from 1 species